rnacentral:rRNA from 1 species
UACGGAGGAGGCAAGCGUUAUCCGGAAUCAUUGGGCGUAAAGCGUCCGUAGGUGGUUGGUCAAGUCUGCUGUUAAAGCGUGGAGCUUAACUCCAUAAGGGCGGUGGAAACUGGUCAGCUAGAGUGCGAUAGGGGCAAGGGGAAUUCCCAGUGUAGCGGUGAAAUGCGUAGAUAUUGGGAAGAACACCGGUGGCGAAAGCGCCUUGCUGGGUCUGCACUGACACUGAGGGACGAAAGCUAGGGGAGCGAAAGGGAUUAGAUACCCCUGUAGUCCUAGCUGUAAACGAUGGGUACUAGGCGUUGUCCGUAUCGACCCGGACAGUGCCGUAGCUAACGCGUUAAGUACCCCGCCUGGGGAGU